rnacentral:tRNA from 1 species
CCAUUGGUGGUUCAAUGAUAGGAUUUUUGCCUUCCAUGCAGGAUACCCGGGUUUGAUUCCUGGCCAAUGCA